rnacentral:rRNA from 1 species
UACAGAGGUCUCAAGCGUUGUUCGGAUUCAUUGGGCGUAAAGGGUGUGUAGGUGGCGCGCUAAGUCGGGUGUGAAAUUUCGGAGCUUAACUCCGAAACUGCCAUUCGGAUACUGGCGUGCUUGAGGACUGGAGAGGAGACGUGGAAUUCGAUGGUGUAGCAGUGAAAUGCGUAGAGAUCAUGAGGAAGACCAGUGGCGAAGGCGGGUCUCUGGACAGUUC